GACGAACGCUGGCGGCGUGCCUAACACAUGCAAGUCGAACGGAAAGGUCCUGCUUUUGUGCGGUGCUCGAGUGGCGAACGGGUGAGUAACACGUGAGUAACCCGCCCCUGCCUUUGGGAUAACUUCAGGAAACUGGGGCUCAUACCGGAUAGGAGCUCUUGCCGCAUGGUGGGGGUUGGUAAGUUUCGGCGGUUGGGGAUGGACUCGCGGCUUAUCAGCUUGUUGGUGGGGUAGUGGCUUACCAAGGCUUUGACGGGUAGCCGGCCUGGGAGGGGGACCGGCCACAUUGGGACUGAGAUACGGCCCAGACGCCAACGGGAGGCAACGGUGGGGAAUAUUGCACAAUGGGCGGAAGCCAGAUGCAGCAACGCCGCGUGCGGGAUGACGGCCUUCGGGUUGUAAACCGCUUUCGCCUGUGACGAAGCGUGAGUGACGGUAAUGGGUAAAGAAGCACCGGCUAACUACGUG
rnacentral:rRNA from 1 species